UACGGAGGAUCCAAGCGUUAUCCGGAAUCAUUGGGUUUAAAGGGUCCGUAGGCGGUUUAAUAAGUCAGUGGUGAAAGCCCAUCGCUCAACGGUGGAACGGCCAUUGAUACUGUUAGACUUGAAUUAUUAGGAAGUAACUAGAAUAUGUAGUGUAGCGGUGAAAUGCUUAGAGAUUACAUGGAAUACCAAUUGCGAAGGCAGGUUACUACUAAUGGAUUGACGCUGAUGGACGAAAGCGUGGGUAGCGAAACAGG
rnacentral:rRNA from 1 species